rnacentral:rRNA from 1 species
AUUGAACGCUGGCGGCAGGCCUAACACAUGCAAGUCGAGCGAGCGGCGGACGGGUGAGUAAUGUCUGGGAAACUGCCUGAUGGAGGGGGAUAACUACUGGAAACGGUAGCUAAUACCGCAUACCAUCAGAUGUGCCCAGAUUGGAUUAGCUAGUCGGUGGGGUAACGGCUCACCUAGGCGACGAUCCCUAGCUGGUCUGAGCGGAUGCCCAGCCAUAAGGGAACUGAGACACGGUCCAGACUCUUCCGGGAGGUAGCAGUGGGGAAUAUUGAACAAUGGGCGCAAGCCUGAUGCAGCCAUGCCGCGUGUGUGAAGAAGGCCUUCGGGUUGUAAAGCACUUUCAGCGGGGAGGCGUUACCCGCAGAAGAAGCACCGGCUAACUCCGUGCCAGCAGCCGCGGUAAUAC